rnacentral:lncRNA from 1 species
GCAUUCAUCACCAACAAGUAUCAAACAACAUCCGAAGCUUAAUCCAAACACCAAAGAAUAGUAAACAAUAAAAUAGAAGAGGAAAAGAGUAGAAUUGGACCUUUCGAUAGUCGAUUUCGUUGAUAAUAACAUUUAAGAAGGCCCAGACUUCAGAACUUGGAACAGAACCUCAACAGAGACGUACGCUGACUCGAUAUAGAAAUUUGAACCCCCAAAGCUGACCUCGACAGACUGAUCGCACGAAAGGAAAAAAAACAGAAACCCAAACUAAAAUCGAACUUAAACUUCAAAACUAGCACCGAGCUCGAUGAACCAAAAUGGAAAUCGCAAUAAGAGAGUUAACAAAUUCGAAAAUCCGAUGGACCCGUCGGAACAGUAACAGGAACAAUGACUGGGUGUUUU